rnacentral:lncRNA from 1 species
UAUUUAUUUAUUUUUUAAUUUUCAUUACCUUGUAUUUAAAAUAAAAUUUUCUCAAACACAACGUAAUUUUUUCCCCAUUUUUUACGUUCAAUAUUGAUUGUUUUUUUCUUCUUUUUUCUAUUGAUUUUAUUUAUUAUUAUUUUCUUUUUUUUCACCUAUUAUUUUUAUUCUCUUUAUCUUUCCUUUUGAUUUGAUUAUAAAUUUAAUUCAAA